rnacentral:rRNA from 1 species
AUGAGCAGCCCCCGCAGCCGCCACCGCCGCCGCCGCCUACCCCCGCUGCCGUCCUCCCUCCCCCGCGCAUUCCUCGUCUGCGAGCGCUGGCGCGGCAUCGUAUCCGACGCCCGAUUUCUCCGCCGCUUCCGCGAGCACCACCGCCGCAACCCUCCCCUCCUCGGUUGCUUCGUCCAAGGUAUCUCCCCCAUCCAUUUCGAACCUACGCUGGAUGCCCCCGCAAGCCCGCUUCCCCUUUCCCAUCGACGCCCUACACACCUACGCGAUCCUCGGAUGCCGCCAUGGCCUCAUGCUCAUCUUCCUCUGGCGGCGGAACCAGCUCCUGGUAUGGGAUCCCGUCACCGGUGA